AAUGAUCAGCCACACUGGAACUGACACACGGUCUAGACUCCUACGGGAGGCAGCAGUGAGGAAUUUUGCGCAAUGGGGGAAACCCUGACGCAGCAACGCCGCGUGAGUGAUGAAGGCUUUCGGGUCGUAAAGCUCUGUCAAGUGGGAAGAAACCACGAGGUGAUAAUAUCGCUUUGUGUUGACGGUACCACUGAAGGAAGCACCGGCUAACUCCGUGCCAGCAGCCGCGGUAAUACGGGGGGUGCAAGCGUUAUUCGGAAUCAUUGGGCGUAAAGGGCGCGUAGGCGGUUUGUUAAGUCAGAUGUGAAAGCCCGGGGCUCAACCCCGGAAGUGCAUUUGAUACUGGCGGACUUGAGUAUGGGAGAGGGAAGUGGAAUUCCUGGUGUAGAGGUGAAAUUCGUAGAUAUCAGGAGGAACACCGGUGGCGAAGGGGACUUCCUGGACCAAUACUGACGCUGAGGCGCGAAGGCGUGGGUAGCAAACAGGAUUAGAUACCCUGGUAGUCCACGCAGUAAACGGUGAUCACUAGGUGUAGCGGGUAUUGACCCCUGCUGUGCCGCAGUUAACGCAUUAAGUGAUCCGCCUGGGGAGUACGGCCGCAAGGUUAAAACUCAAAGGAAUCGACGGGGGCCCGCACAAGCGGUGGAGCAUGUGGUUUAAUUCGACGCAACGCGAAGAACCUUACCUGGGUUUGACAUCUCGGGGAUUUUUUGGAAACAAGAAAGUGCCCUUCGGGGAGCCCGAAGACAGGUGCUGCAUGGCUGUCGUCAGCUCGUGUCGUGAGAUGUUGGGUUAAGUCCCGUAACGAGCGCAACCCUUAUCUUUAGUUACCAUCACUUCGGGUGGGGACUCUAAAGAUACUGCCCCGGUCAACGGGGAGGAAGGUGGGGAUGACGUCAAGUCCUCAUGGCCUUUAUGCCCAGGGCUACACACGUGCUACAAUGGGCGAUACAAAGGGUAGCGAGCCUGCGAAGGUGAGCCAAUCCCAAAAAGUCGUUCUUAGUUCGGAUUGGAGUCUGCAACUCGACUCCAUGAAGCUGGAACCGCUAGUAAUCGCGGAUCAGCACGCCGCGGUGAAUACGUUCCCGGGCCUUGUACACACCGCCCGUCACACCAUGAGAGUUGGUUGUACCAGAAGUUGUUGGGCUAACCCGCAAGGGAGGCAGGCACCUAAGGUAUGGCUGAUGAUUGGGGUGAAGUCGUAACAAGGUA
rnacentral:rRNA from 1 species